rnacentral:rRNA from 1 species
GACGGAGGAUGCAAGCGUUAUCCGGAAUUAUUGGGCGUAAAGCGUCCGUAGGCGGUUUCAAAAGUCUGUUGUUAAAGCCCACAGCUCAACUGUGGAUCGGCAAUGGAAACUGUGAGACUAGAGAGUGGUAGGGGUAGAGGGAAUUCCUGGUGUAGCGGUGAAAUGCGUAGAUAUCAGGAGGAACACCGAUGGCGAAGGCAGGUCUCUGGGCCACUACUGACGCUGAGAAGCGAAAGCAUGGGGAGCGAACAGG